UACGAAGGGGGCUAGCGUUGCUCGGAAUCACUGGGCGUAAAGGGUGCGUAGGCGGGUCUUUUAAGUCAGGGGUGAAAUCCUGGAGCUCAACUCCAGAACUGCCUUCGAUACUGGAGAGCUCGAGUCCGGGAGAGGUGAGUGGAACUGCGAGUGUAGAGGUGAAAUUCGUAGAUAUUCGCAAGAACACCAGUGGCGAAGGCGGCUCACUGGCCCGGUACUGACGCUGAGGUGCGAAAGCGUGGGUAGCAAACAGG
rnacentral:rRNA from 1 species